ensembl:lncRNA
CAGAUGUUGGUUCUCACAGGAGGCGAGCGGACGCUCCCCCCUCGGCAAUUGCGGUCAUGACACGCAAGGAUAUAUGACCUGACGCCCCACCCGUGUCUCCAUAGUUCUGUCGUUACCCUUCAGCUGGCGCCUUAUCUCAGCUUAUCAUGGGACUCGGGAUGCAGGGAAGAUCAUCCGUGGGUCUCGGAGGCCCGGCUGCUCGGGUUUCAGGUGCAAAUGGCUUCAGCGACGGGGCCCGGGGAACCGCCUGCCUCCCACCGUGUGAGCGGAUCCUGCACGGACACGUACACCGCCGUGUUUGUGCACCUCCACGACAUUUCCACCGCUGCACAUCUGCCGCGGAACCACAACUGAAAGUCGCUGAAAUGAGCUCUUGUGGUGACUUGUUGGGAUCAAACCUGAUUAUCGGAUGACAUCGCGGUCGGCACGUUUUGGACCCUGGAUCUGCCGCUCACUCGCUCGGCGGUGUGGGCCGAUCGCCUUGAGAGGCCGCCUAUCCAUUGUCAAACCUCUUUGACCUGCUCUCUCCUUCAGCCUCUCCUGUUUCCACACAAAGACUCUCUAAUACCAGGUAGCUGGCUCUGGCAUUCCUGUUGCAUUCCACUAUGGGGAAGUUGCUGGGAUCAGGAUGAAAAAUGCCUGAAACAAAGGCCUACUCUCAUUCACAGGGUUUAGGGUUCUGUGGGAAAGUCCAGGCAGGACAGAGGUUGGAUGGCAGAGGAAUGUGAUGCAGGGAAAUAGCUCACACAGUCUCC